UGCAACUCCCAUGGCUAGCAAGGCAGUUGGGGGCUCUGCAGCACUAAACCUCUGUGGUGCUAGAGAGGAAGCACCUCUAAGCGGGUUCACACAUAAUGAUGAUAAUAGAUCUGUUGCUUUGUCUGAUGAUGAGCCUCUGCUGCGCAUAGGACAAGUUCAAGGCUGGGUGGGCAAGCCUCUGGGAGCUGCUUCCCCCCUCCCCCAACUUCCCCGACUGCUGGGAGCUACCAGAUCAAAAUAGCUGCUUGGAGAGGUGGAGCCAGCCACAAAAUGGCGGCUUGGAGAGGCAGAACCAGUUGCAAAAUGGGGCCAGCUUUCUGUUCCCUUUCUAGCAUGGCUGACAUGUCCACGAUCACCACAGACAACUUAAAAGCACUGCUGCUGAAAGGUCUCAGAAACCGCAGCUCGGAUUUGGCAAUCAAAAUGUUAAGCAGAGGAACUGUUACUUUCCCACAGGUUUGUGUGAAUAAAAUAGUCUG